rnacentral:lncRNA from 1 species
UAUGCUCAUUUGAAGAGGCAUUAUUUCUGUUUCUCUGUUCGCUUUGAACAUUGAAGCCAAAGUGGCCAGGGCAUCAGCCAAUUGGUUUUCUUCUCGUGGGAAGUAAUUAAAAGUUAUUUCUUUAAACUCUUCAAUCAGUUCUGCCACUAGAUCACUGUAUUUGACUAAUUUUGGAUCUCUUACAUCCCAAUCUCCACGGAUUUGGUAAAUCACCAGCGCCGAG